rnacentral:rRNA from 1 species
UACGUAGGGGGCAAGCGUUGUCCGGAUUUAUUGGGCGUAAAGAGCUCGUAGGCGGUUCGGUACGUCGGAUGUGAAAUCUCCAGGCUCAACCUGGAGGGGUCAUUCGAUACUGCCGUGACUAGAGUUCGGUAGGGGAGUGUGGAAUUCCUGGUGGAGCGGUGAAAUGCGCAGAUAUCAGGAAGAACACCCGUGGCUAAGGCGGUUCUCUAGUACGGUACUGACGCUGAGACGCGAAAGCGUGGGGAGCGAACAGG